UACGGAGGAUGCAAGCGUUAUCCGGAAUUAUUGGGCGUAAAGCGUCCGUAGGUGGUUGAGUAAGUCUGCUGUUAAAGCGUGGAGCUUAACUCCAUAUCGGCAGUGGAAACUACUUGACUUGAGUGCGGUAGGGGUCAGGGGAAUUCCCAGUGUAGCGGUGAAAUGCGUAGAUAUUGGGAAGAACACCGGUGGCGAAAGCGCCUGACUGGGCCCGCACUGACACUGAGGGACGACAGCUAGGGGAGCGAAAGGG
rnacentral:rRNA from 1 species